rnacentral:rRNA from 1 species
GACGGAGGGUGCUAGCGUUGUUCGGAAUUACUGGGCGUAAAGGGCGCGUAGGCGGCCGUUUGCGUCGGAUGUGAAAGCCCCGGGCUCAACCUGGGAACUGCAUUUGAAACUGGCGGGCUUGAGUGUGGCAGAGGGGGGUGGAAUUCCGCGUGUAGCAGUGAGAUGCGUAGAGAUGCGGAGGAACACCGAUGGCGAAGGCAGCCCCCUGGGCCAACACUGACGCUCAGGCACGAAAGCGUGGGGAGCAAACAGG